rnacentral:rRNA from 1 species
UACGUAGGGUGCGAGCGUUAAUCGGAAUUACUGGGCGUAAAGCGUGCGCAGGCGGUUUUGUAAGCCAGAUGUGAAAUCCCCGGGCUUAACCUGGGAAUGGCAUUUGGGACUGCAAGGCUUGAGUGCGGCAGAGGAGACUGGAAUUCCUGGUGUAGCAGUGAAAUGCGUAGAUAUCAGGAGGAACACCGAUGGCGAAGGCAGGUCUCUGGGCUGACACUGACGCUGAUGUGCGAAAGCUAGGGGAGCGAACGGG